GGUGGGAACUCAUGGGAUACUGCCGGGGACAACUCGGAGGAAGGUGGGGAUGACGUCAAAUCAUCAUGCCCCUUAUGACUUGGGCUUCACGCAUGCUACAAUGGCCGGUACAAUGGGCAGCGAUACCGUGAGGUGGAACGAAUCCCAAAAAGCCGGUCCCAGUUCGGAUUGAGGGCUGCAACUCGACCUCAUGAAGUCGGAAUCGCUAGUAAUCGCAGAUCAGC
rnacentral:rRNA from 1 species